UAGCCUACUUUAUUAUAGGAAGCCCAACGGUUUGGGCUUUUUUUGGAAGCCAAUUUGGGUUCCCUUCCUCUUAUUUGGCUCCGCCCUAAGUGGACCCACGGGAGCCAAUUUAUCGUCUAGCGGCGAUAUUUGAAAACACGGAUUUGUUUACGUUUCUAUCGAUAUGAUUGUUAAAUGGCUACGAAGGGCCAUUCACUAAACAAUAAUGUCCACCGUUCCAUGUAACAUUGUCAUGAAAUCCCUCACGGCAACAUAUUAAUGGUGCGUUCAUAAAUUACAGGGUUCCCCCCAAACCAUAACAUUCGAAAUUUCGGAGGGCGUGUCAUUAUUUCGCUCACCAGAUGGCCCCCCUGGGUCCACUUGGAAGAUGCGAAAUCGGAGGAAAGGUGAGCAAAGUAGGCUUCACUUUUCCAACACGCGAGAGAUAUCCUUCCUUUGGGCUUCCUAUAAUAAAGUAGGCUAUGGUAAGAGUCGCUUACGUCAACAAUUCGUGCCUCAUUACCAAACAGCAAAUGCACCGUGAGUGUGGAUUGUGGUCGAGGAGAAAUUGGCGAUGGUGAAGAAACUAUUGACAGGGAGGACCGUAAGACGUGAUAGUACUCUAGCAGCCCCAUCAAUUCCAACAGUUGCUUGAAGAUUUGGUCAAGACAGAAUUUGAUAAAAAGCCCUUUAUCAAGAGUAAAAAAAUUGAGGCAGGUGGUUCCCUCCGUACAGUUGAAAAACAAGCAUAUAGGUGCAAACUGGUGCAUACAGUUGCAACAGUUGCUGGAAGAUUUGGCCAUGACAGAAUUUGAUGAAGACCGCCCUUUGUCAAUAAAAGCAAUGCAUUUUGAAGAAGGCAAAAACAAAUCUCUGUAUCCUGACGAUGAAGUGGCUAGAGUUACCUUUGAGACUGUCAUCCAAGUGGAGAAAGAAAAAGCGAAAUGUAUUCUACCCCCUUCGAGACUGUCAUUACAUUGGCACACUAUCAUGUUGAUAACAUUAAUGAUUCUGGUGGAGUCACCAUCAGAGGGAAAGCAGUGGUCCCCCAAUUAAUCGAAAUCCCAAUCUCCUUUACUAGCAGACAUAAUUUUCAAUUUGGGUAUGGAAGGCUGGCACAAAACAUGUUAACCAGGAAACGGGUGAUGCAAACCAACUUCUUAAAACUCAGUGAUGACCGUUUAAUGUUCGUGUCAACUGCCCAUCCUUGAGGACCGCCCAGUCAACGAACCGCCAACCUAAUCGCAACCUGCUGCAACCAGCACUGAGAACUCGCGAAUACGAGGAACUACACAACUUUGUACGGAAGUUGCAAACCAACAAGAGCUCCUGGCUGUUCCUCAAGUCUGGCUGUAACGGAAGUCCACAACUUUUGUAAGAUCAUCAAGAUGACAAAGAGUUGAUACCUGCGACUUGGUUCAAAACCUAUAGCCUUCUGUUGCUUAAGUUGGCGUGAUGAAGUACCAGUGGUGAAGUCAGAAAUGGAAACAGAUCUAUUCCAAUCCCCAGCAACGUCAACCUGCAGAAGGAAAGGCCAGUUUGCAUGGCCUUCACAUUCGAAGGUGACGGAGAUCAAUACGUAAAACGUGUCUUGCAGUGGUGUAGAGGUUGGGUGAUAAGGGGGCGUGUUUCAUCAUUAUCAAGCACAAGCAGGUACAAUACCCGCAAGGCUUAAGAGGUUAGGAUGCGAAAAAAAAUCAUACAAAAGGAGAGAGAAAAGGCGAUGGAAAUCAGUCGAGUGAGCAUCUCCGACACGGCAACAACCGCAGCCCACUAUUUGUCAUCGUAUUGAACCAGUUCAAGCAUAGUUAACUAUGGCUUUGUACUGCUGUUGGUUGUUGUAUCGUUGAUAACUGGGUCGACCACGAGUGUACCGAUGUCUGGGUAUGGUGGAUUCCAAGCAACAGCAGCGAAAGAAUAGUACACCACGUUGCAGCCUUACGUUGCAGCCUUAAAACACAACAUCGUCAACAUGCGUAAUACCUACUUACUACACCAUCAAGGCUCCAAGACUACACGAAAACUUACGCUGCCCUUGAGCUACUACACGGAGUUUCAUCACCAAAGCGCCUGAGUACUACCCAGAGGCUCCCAAUUACUAUUCUCGUCAUAGCUACUACACCGAGGUUGCAGCUUGUUACACCACCAAGGCGGUUGAGUACCACGCCGAAGCGUUCAAGUACUAUACUGCAACCUACUGCCGCGCACUAUUUGUCACCAACUGCCUUCAUCGUAUUGAUCUAGUUCUCAAUAAUGGCUAACUAUGGCUUUGUGCUGCUUUUUGGUUUUGCAUCGUUGAUGGCUGUGUCCAACAUUGGUGUACCGAUGUCUCGUGGGUAUGGCGGAUAGCAAACCGCAACGCCGCUGCCUUACUUCACAACAACAACAACAACAUACGCAACAGUCGGUUACUACACCACCAAGUCUUCAGAGUAUUACACCGAAACUUAUGAUGCCCCGAGCUACUACAUCGAGCUCCGAACUAUAAGUCUGCCCUGAGCUACAUUACCAAAGAGCCGGAGUACUACCCCAAAGCGCCCAAAUACUACAUUAAAACCUACGCUGCUCCUAGCUACUACACCGACGCCCCGAAGUAUUACUCUGCGUAUAAGGAGUCGUCUAAUAAAAAAGUCGUAUGCGUGCGGAAAGAGAAAAGGAAGUAGAAAUCAGUCGAGUGAGGAUCUCCUACACGUCAACAACUGCAGUGUACUGUCUGUCACCAACUGCAUUCCUCAUCGUGUAACCAAAUCGCAAUCAUGGCAGGUACAAUCACCGCACUGCUCGAGUUGAAAGGUUAAUCAGUAGAAGGAGAAACUUUUAAGCGAAAGAGAAAUGUCGAUAGAAGUCAGUCGAAUGAGCAUCUCCGAUAUGCAACAACCAGUUCGCAAUUAUGGUUAACCAUAGCGUCUGCCCCGAGCUACACCACCAAGGUACCAGAGUACUACACGAAUACGUAUGCUGCCCCAACCUACUACACCGAGGCUGCCAAGUGCAACUCUGUCCUCAGUUACUUACUGCACCAAUCCUAAGUACUACUUUGUUCCCAUCUACUACACCGAAGCUCUAGCUUAUUACAUCCCCGAAGCGGUCUACUAUUACACCGAAGCGCCUAAGUACUACACUGCAACCUACGCUGCACCACGGAGCCAUCGGAAUACUAAAUCAUAACCUAGCCUACUACACCGCCCCGAUCUACACAACCACAUCUGAGCCAGCCAAGUAUUGUUAUACAGCGCCUUCAAUUUUCUAGUAAGGUGGCAGUGACUUGUGUUAAGGGUUUUGAAUUGGAAUUGGAAAAAUCCUGAAAGUGUGCUGUUCAGUACUGGUUCUGUUGCAGCCUAUGCCGAUGAAAGGAAUUUUGUAUUUUGUUAAUUUCAUAUUAUGUACAGUUUAAAAAAGUUAAUUAACUGUUAUUAAACGUUUAUAUGUAAAGAAGGAAAAAAAUUAUGUAAAAUUUACAUGGUUAUGUAGAUUGAAAAAUUCUU